UGGAUCCAAUAUGUUGGGUUUACUCUUGUGUGUGCAGUCAAACAAGUUUAGACCAUGUUGGGCUGGAGGCCAUAAAGUAGAAACUCACGCCAACACGUCAGCAUGCAUAUUUAAUUGAAGAAUCACUUUCAGAGAAAGUUACAGACAAGUCAGGAGAACGAUACAACGCUCAAGUUUCUGGAGUGUUUAAAUCAGUUAAACACUUGUCAGUUCUCUUUAGAGCAGGCUCACUUCAAACAGACAGGUAAAGGAAGUACUAAAGAAAAUGAGAUUAGGAAAAGUGCCCCUAUGCUGCAAGAUUACCACUCACUCACAGGACGUGAGGAAGGGUACACCCCGGACAGGACACCAGUCUGUUGCAGGGCCACACAGACAAACACUUUCAUACCACACACAGCUACAGACAAUUUAUACCUGAUGUGCCCAACCAGUC